rnacentral:rRNA from 1 species
UACAUAGGUCUCAAGCGUUGUUCGGAUUCAUUGGGCGUAAAGGGUGCGUAGGCGGCGGGGUAAGUCAGGUGUGAAAUCCCGGAGCUCAACUCCGGAACUGCACUUGAUACUGCCUUGCUAGAGUACUGGAGAGGGAACUGGAAUUUACGGUGUAGCAGUGAAAUGCGUAGAUAUCGUAAGGAAGACCAGUGGCGAAGGCGAGUUCCUGGACAGUUACUGACGCUGAGGCACGAAGGCCAGGGGAGCAAACGGG